GGGUGACAAGAAGCCUUCCGAGCCCAAAGCCAUGCCAGACCUCAAUGGGAUCCUUUCCCAGAGCCCUCCAUGGAGAAAACAGCAAAAUGAAGCCCUUACCUGCUUGCUGUCUGCAAGGGAGGGAGCCGAGCCCCAGCUGAUAAUCCCCCAGCACUCACCCUUCCUGAGCUGAGACUUCAGGGCUGUGGAGACCAGCACAGGACAUAGUGGUGCUUUUUAAAUUUAUUUUUAACUGUUUCUCAUAUGUAGCAACCCCUCCUCCCCUCCUGGGCGUGUUUACACAGGCUCUGCUCUGGGGGCUGGCCUGGCUGUGAGGUUUCUGGGGAGGCAGAGAGGCAGGGACUUUGGGGCCUUAGUCACCAUCCAUGGUAUCACCUCAUCUCACUUCCUGUGAGGGGCAGGGCCUGGCUGAUGUGACCCCAGCUCCCCCCAGUUCAGGACUGUCUUCCAGCUCCUUUGCCCCUGGAGGUGGGGGCUGCUGGCUGAGGAGGGGUCAAGGUGAGUUCCAAGAAAGCUACCUGUGGAAAAUAGACCAGGGUUGGGGGGGUGAUUGCAAAGUCUCCCCAAAGCCUGGCUCCUCAUGCUCAGUGCCAGGGGCAGAACACUGGGGAGCCAGGUAUAGACAGCCUUCCUGUCAUAACUGCCAGUCCUUUUCCUCCAAGGCCUCUGCACAUUCUCAUGUUCCCCUCACCCAUCAUGCCAGCCACCCCAUCCCUCUUCUG
rnacentral:lncRNA from 1 species